rnacentral:rRNA from 1 species
GACGAACGCUGGCGGCGUGCUUAACACAUGCAAGUCGAACGAAGAGCGAUGGAAGCUUGCUUCUAUCAAUCUUAGUGGCGAACGGGUGAGUAACGCGUAAUCAACCUGCCCUUCAGAGGGGGACAACAGUUGGAAACGACUGCUAAUACCGCAUACGAUCUAAUCUCGGCAUCGAGGAUAGAUGAAAGGUGGCCUCUACAUGUAAGCUAUCACUGAAGGAGGGGAUUGCGUCUGAUUAGCUAGUUGGAGGGGUAACGGCCCACCAAGGCGAUGAUCAGUAGCCGGUCUGAGAGGAUGCACGGCCACAUUGGGACUGAGACACGGCCCAGACUCCUACGGGAGGCAGCAGUGGGGAAUCUUCCGCAAUGGACGAAAGUCUGACGGAGCAACGCCGCGUGAGCGAUGACGGCCUUCGGGUUGUAAAGCUCUGUUAAUCGGGACGAAAGGCCUUCUUGCGAAUAGUGAGAAGGAUUGACGGUACCGGAAUAGAAAGCCACGGCUAACUACGUG